rnacentral:misc_RNA from 1 species
AAGUCGUAACAAGGUUUCCGUAGGUGAACCUGCGGAAGGAUCAUUAGAAAUUUUUUAUGUAUUCAAAAUUUCAAUCUUUAUAAAAAAAAUUUUUUAUUUAUAUAAAAUAAAAUAAAGACAACUUUCAACAACGGAUCUCUUGGCUCUU